rnacentral:rRNA from 1 species
CAGCAGCCGCGGUAAUACGGAGGGUGCAAGCGUUAAUCGGAAUUACUGGGCGUAAAGCGUGCGUAGGCGGCUUCUUAAGUCGGAUGUGAAAUCCCUGAGCUUAACUUAGGAAUUGCAUUCGAUACUGGGAAGCUAGAGUAUGGGAGAGGAUGGUAGAAUUCCAGGUGUAGCGGUGAAAUGCGUAGAGAUCUGGAGGAAUACCGAUGGCGAAGGCAGCCAUCUGGCCUAAUACUGACGCUGAGGUACGAAAGCAUGGGGAGCAAACAGGAUUAGAUACCCGAGUAGUCCAUGUCUCUUAUAA